UGGGAAGAGGACUUGACCAUUAAACCACUCUGGAAAUUGUAGCUCUGGGAGGUAAAUAGGGUUCUCCUAACAACUAUCAGCACGAUGAAGCUUCCAGAAUUCUUUGAGGGAAGCUGUGGCUAUUUAAAGUGAUAGUGUGAUAUUUUACUUUAUAUGGAUGGUGUGGAUGUGACCAUAGUCCAAGAACAUCUGGUGGACCCAGGAUUUAAGAGCACUGGAAUAUUUUUCAAGGCAGGAAUGUUGUUAUCAUCAGCUGGAGCACCAGUGUAACUGAUAGACCCUCCUUCAUCCAUUGAACUCAGGUUGGUAUGUUUGGGUGUCAGGUAUCACACUUAAUCCUUGUAACAGCUGUAUAAAACAGGUUAACUUCGGACAGUGACUGGACCAAGGCUACCCUGAUCAGAAUUGUGGAGCCAUAUAUAACCAGCCCAAGCCCAACAUACUACUAUGCUACCCUCUGCCAGCUGGUUCUAUUAGAUGGGGUAUUGUGCCAUGUACUGUGUGUAAGCAUAUAUGUACAGUGGUACCUCGGGUUACAUACACUUCAGGUUACAUACGCUUCAGGUUACAGACUCUGCUAACCCAGAAAUAGUACCUCAGGUUAAGAACUUUGCUUCAGGAUGAGAACAGAAAUCUUGCUCUGGCAGUGGUACCUCAGGUUAAGUACUUAAUUUGUUCUGGAUGUCCGUAGUUAACCUGAAACUGUUCUUAACCUGAAGCACCACUUUAGCUAAUGGGGCCUCCCGAUGCCGUCGUACUGCCAGAGCAUGAUUUCUGUUCCCAUCCUGAAGCAAAGUUCUUAACCUGAAGCACGAUUUCUGGGUUAGCGGAAUCUGUAACCUGAAGCGUAUGUAACCUGAAGCGUAUGUAACCUGAGGUACCACUGUAUAGUAUAUUUGGGGUAUAUCAACUAGGGCCACACAUAAGCCCCCUAUCUGCCCCAUGGCUCUGAUUUGUGCACCACCCCCAAAAUCAGGCUAAUCACUUUGGGUUGACCACUCACCCUUGAUCCAUCCCUGUACAAUUUUUUUUGUUUGGGGUGGGGUGCAGGGUGAAGGAUUUUUAAAGCCCUAUUUUCAACAUAUGGAUGGGAGGGGGCAGGGAAAAGAGGAGCCAUUGUGUCUCUUUCUCCCCACUCCCAACUGUGAGCAGGUGGGUUUGAAUCUGAGGGGUGCUUGCUCCUUCGCAGGGAGCCACUUCUGAAAGAGCUGCAACCAGCACCAUGCAGGAUCGAAUCCUUACCUCACAAAGCUGAUAAAUGGGAGGACUGGAUCCUGUAUGGUGCUGGUUGCUCCUCCUGAAGGGUGCCCUACAAAGGAGCCGUACUCCUCUGGAUCAAACCCACCUGCUGCCAGUUAGGAGGGGGCUGCUGCUCCUUUGAUAGCUGUCUUCCUGCCCACUCCCCAGACUCUGUUUUUAUUAUGUAACAGCACUGGCUUCGCCUUUGAAGUCAAGAGUCCCCUUAAAGGUCACAGGAUUUUAAUUGCGGCCUUGCUGUAAAUAGUGAAAUUGUUGAAGGCAGCCUUUGUUUCUGAAGAGUGUCCUCUAUACAUGGAACACUCUUUUGAAACAAGACAGUCAAACAUAUAUCUCAUCUGUUAUUCAUUCUUUGCACAAAAGGAUUUUUUCCUUCCCCCUCUUCUUCCCUAUUUGCAAAUGAAGGGGGGUGGGGAUGAAAAGAAAUGUAAGAGUACAAAAAAGAAAAGAAAAAUAAAUUAGCAAGGGCACAGCAUAUUAUGAAGUCGUUUAAAGACUUUUUAAGGAAUAUGGUGCUUUGUCCAAAUCUGCGCUUUGCAGCACAGAGUGUCCAGAAGUACAAAAAGGACUUCUUUCCAUGCCAGCACAAAGUGUUUGACAUGUCUAAUCUCAUUUUAUCCUUCCAAUAACCCAUUUACACUGAGCUCUGGUCUAUACCUUCAUCAGCAUGGUGGUGGUGAUAGAACGGACUGCAUCAAUUCAAACUCCAGUUGGGAGGUCAUGUUUUUUCAGGCCUUCCCAAAUGUGAAAAAUCCCCUACAAGCAGACAACUAGCACAAUGGUGCAAGGUCUUGACUAGAACAUCUUUCUGUGACGUCUUCCCCUCUCCCAUGAAAGAAGGAAGGAGAACUUAUGGCCAUCUAGAUAGUGUUGGUCUUCAUCACUGGUCUUCAAUAGUUGGGUUGGGACCCACUAGUAGGUUGCAGCCUGAUCCAUAAUGGGAGCACUAUCACCAUGCAAAUAUAUGGUAAAAGAUUAAGAAAUGGGUCUCCAAAUGCAUGUUUGAGUUAAUAGUGGGACCUGGGUCUGAAAAGAUUGAAGAUAGCUGGACUACACAACCUAUCAUCCCUGACCGUUGGCUUUACUUACUGGAUCUGAUGGGAGCAUACAAGUUUCCCAUCUGUGUUUAAGAGGCACCUGCCCGGUUGCUGAUGAAACAGAAGUGGCAUACAGUAGACACUUCAUCUGAGUCAGUAAGGUAAUAAAUUUUGCUUUUCCUGCCUUUUAGGGCACAGAAGGCCAUCCCGUUUUGAGUAGUGCCUUGGAAUAGGAGAAUCUGUCAAUUUCAGUUUCUCUUGGUUUCUCGUUUCUUCAGUCUUAAAUUCAGUUUUCAACAUUUCCACAUCCGUUUGCUAUAAAACGUGACUGUUUCAAGUGGAAUGAUAUUGCAAUCUGCACUAGGUGGGUCUUCCUUUGUGCUUGAUCCAGAAUCUGCAGUUGGUGCAGAAUGCUGCACCAUGAUUGCUGUGUCAGCAUAUAACACCUGUGCUCAGAGAUCUGCAAUGGUUGCUGAUUCACUACCUGAUCUUUUAGUGUGGCAGAACUCACACUUUGGAAUUCCCAACCUAUUGAUUCUUUUUGGCACCUAUGAAAAAACUUAUUCUUUGGAAAAAACUUCCCAGAUAUGUAAAAUGUUGGUGUGCGUUUAAAUCUACUUAUCACUGGUUUUAAGUUUUUUGAAUAUUUUAAAUAGUUGUUGUUAAGUGUUUGCACCAAUAAUGUGAUAGUUUUAUUCUUUUUGUGAACCAUUUUUAGUUUUUUUUUAAAAAAAACAACAACAACAAAGACAAAUGCUGUAUAAUUUUUAAUGAAAUGAACAAAUGUAAAUGUCUAUUACAGAUGGGGGCCUGAUAUGCUGACAAAAUUAAUGAGCAGAUUUAUUUAUUUUUUAAUAACAGUUUACAGAAAUGUGGCAGACACUGUCACUAUCACCAGUGGGAGAGCAUGGAUGAACGAGCAUGCGGUGACUGCAUGAAGGAGAAAUGGAUGCGACCCAUGCCAGGAAAUGGACCUUUGUGGAUGCCCAAACUUCUGGUGCUGGGCCUGGCUAUUAGAAAGGGGAUUUCCUGCUUGGCCAUGGGAAGAGCAAAGGAGUAAAUGGGGAAAAAAAUGAGUUAUAAUGGAAUGGUGGGUGAAUGUACAGAACAAUUUAAAAGCAUGGAAAUCCAUAACAAAGCAAUUCCUACCAUCAGCAGCUAGCAGAUGAGGCUUAACUCUGUGCUGUGACAUGAAGUAGUAAAAGGAACUGAUCCUGCUGCAAAAUUAAAAUAGGGACCCUGUUUACCAACCCCCAAGGCAUGUAGAAAUAAGGUGUAUAUAUUUAAUGCAUGAAGUAUAUGCAAUCAGUGCUGCGGGUGAUGAAUAGGUGGGGGAGAUGGAGUCUGAAAAAGCAUUGUAUGGUUUUGUUUUGUUUAAUUUUCUUAUCACUGGUGAUUCCUAACUGUGGUAGCCAAUCAUGGUCUAGCGGUUGUUGUCUUUUUUUCUUUUUCCAAUUUCCUGUUGCAGGGUUGAACAGGAGUGGAGCAUGUGCUUGGCAUGCAGAAGGUCUCAGGUUCAAUCCUCAACAUCUUUGGUGGAAUGGGGAAAGACUUCUGCCUGAAACCUUAGAUACUAGUCAGUG